GACGAACGCUGGCGGCGUGCCUAAUACAUGCAAGUAGAACGCUGAAGAGAGGAGCUUGCUCUUCUUGGAUGAGUUGCGAACGGGUGAGUAACGCGUAGGUAACCUGCCUUGUAGCGGGGGAUAACUAUUGGAAACGAUAGCUAAUACCGCAUAACAAUGGAUGACACAUGUCAUUUAUUUGAAAGGGGCAAUUGCUCCACUACAAGAUGGACCUGCGUUGUAUUAGCUAGUAGGUGAGGUAAUGGCUCACCUAGGCGACGAUACAUAGCCGACCUGAGAGGGUGAUCGGCCACACUGGGACUGAGGCACGGCCCAGACUCCUACGGGAGGCAGCAGUAGGGAAUCUUCGGCAAUGGGGGCAACCCUGACCGAGCAACGCCGCGUGAGUGAAGAAGGUUUUCGGAUCGUAAAGCUCUGUUGUAAGUCAAGAACGGGUGUGAGAGUGGAAAGUUCACACUGUGACGGUAGCUUACCAGAAAGGGACGGCUAACUACGUGCCAGCAGCCGCGGUAAUACGUAGGUCCCGAGCGUUGUCCGGAUUUAUUGGGCGUAAAGCGAGCGCAGGCGGUUUGAUAAGUCUGAAGUUAAAGGCUGUGGCUCAACCAUAGUUCGCUUUGGAAACUGUCAAACUUGAGUGCAGAAGGGGAGAGUGGAAUUCCAUGUGUAGCGGUGAAAUGCGUAGAUAUAUGGAGGAACACCGGUGGCGAAAGCGGCUCUCUGGUCUGUAACUGACGCUGAGGCUCGAAAGCGUGGGGAGCGAACAGGAUUAGAUACCCUGGUAGUCCACGCCGUAAACGAUGAGUGCUAGGUGUUGGAUCCUUUCCGGGAUUCAGUGCCGCAGCUAACGCAUUAAGCACUCCGCCUGGGGAGUACGACCGCAAGGUUGAAACUCAAAGGAAUUGACGGGGGCCCGCACAAGCGGUGGAGCAUGUGGUUUAAUUCGAAGCAACGCGAAGAACCUUACCAGGUCUUGACAUCCCGAUGCCAUUUCUAGAGAUAGAAAGUUACUUCGGUACAUCGGUGACAGGUGGUGCAUGGUUGUCGUCAGCUCGUGUCGUGAGAUGUUGGGUUAAGUCCCGCAACGAGCGCAACCCCUAUUGUUAGUUGCCAUCAUUCAGUUGGGCACUCUAGCGAGACUGCCGGUAAUAAACCGGAGGAAGGUGGGGAUGACGUCAAAUCAUCAUGCCCCUUAUGACCUGGGCUACACACGUGCUACAAUGGUUGGUACAACGAGUUGCGAGUCGGUGACGGCGAGCUAAUCUCUUAAAGCCAAUCUCAGUUCGGAUUGUAGGCUGCAACUCGCCUACAUGAAGUCGGAAUCGCUAGUAAUCGCGGAUCAGCACGCCGCGGUGAAUACGUUCCCGGGCCU
rnacentral:rRNA from 1 species